AAUGAGGUGAGCCUUUUACCACGCGUCCUGACACGUACCUGUUAAGAACUGCACUCCACCUCUACAUGUACCUACAGUGCAGCCCACUGUCUGAAAUUACACUAAACGGGCCUUUUUUGCUAAGCGCGUCCACGCGUACGCGUUCACGAUUGGCAGCUCCACGUCGACAUUCUUCCAGCUGCAGAGUGUUGUGCACGGAGCGCAGAGAAGCGAAGGGACCUCGGUGUAAAAGGACCUGACUAACAUAUCGCGGAAUGUCCGAAGAAGGUUGAUGACUGCACAAUUAACAGAUAAAAUGCGCGUCGUGUCCGUAGCAGUUAAAUUGUAAUAUGUUCAGAACGCAUUUUUGUUGUUGUAUUUUAUGGUCUCUUUCCUCUCGUGUUGGACUGCAGCUGGCCACUUAACUGCUGUCUCACUUCGACCAGGUUGGUCACUGAUAGGAUGGCGAGAAGGUUCACCGUGGAAGGACACGUGGUCGUGCUGUGGCUUUCCAAGUAAAGUUCUGUAAUACACUUAGACUCUAAUUGUUUGCAGUCAGUGCAUUACAGAACUUUGUUUUGGGAGUUAAUGCUCUUGGCUGAUGGAAAAUAACACCUCUGGAGGGACACCACCAGGUUUCAUUCCUGUCAUGGGUUUUCAUCCACUUGUCCUUCUACUAAAAAGACUACAUUGAAAUAAACCUGUUAAAAACAUUGUA